rnacentral:rRNA from 1 species
UACGGGGGGUGCAAGCGUUGCUCGGAAUCACUGGGCGUAAAGCGUCCGCAGGUGGGCGCGUGUGUCGGACGUGAAAUCCCGGGGCUCAACCCCGGAACGGCGUCCGCGACUGCGCGUCUGGAGUACGGGAGAGGGGAGCGGAAUUCCUGGUGUAGAGGUGAAAUUCGUAGAUAUCAGGAGGAACACCCGUGGCGAAAGCGGCUUCCUGGCCCGAUACUGACACUCAUGGACGAGAGCGUGGGGAGCAAACAGG